GACGAACGCUGGCGGCGUGCCUAAUACAUGCAAGUCGAGCGCUGAAGGCUGGUUCUUGUGCCAAUUGGGUGAGCAGCGGACGGGUGAGUAACGCGUGGGGAACCUGCCUUUGAGCGGGGGAUAACAUAUGGAAACGAAUGCUAAUACCGCAUAACACUUUUAAACACAAGGUUUUAGAUUGAAAGAUGCAAUUGCAUUACUCUAAGAUGUUCCCGCGUUGUAUUAGGUAGUUUGGCAGGUUAAGGCUUACCCAGGCGACGAUACAUAGCCGACCUGAGAGGGUGGUCGGCCGCAUUGGGACGUGGACACGGCCCAAACUCCUACGGGAGGCAGCAGUAGGGGAUCUUCGGCAAUAGAGGGAAGUCUGGCCGAACAACGCCGCGUGAGUUGAGGAGGUUCUCGGUUCGUAAAAACCUGUUGGUAGUGGAGAACGUUGUUGGGAGUGGAAAGCUCAUCGAGUGACGGUAACUACUCAGAAAGCAACGGCUAACUACGUG
rnacentral:rRNA from 1 species